GCAGAAGGUCUGGAGGACUCACGGAGGGGCAGCAAGACCCAAAGCCAGGCCCAGGCAGAGACACAGCGUCUGGGGGAGAAGCUUCAUGAAGUUCUCUACUGGAGAAGAUGUCUUUCAAAGAAGGGUGUGGGGAUCUGAUGGUGCUUCCAGCUGAGCACACUACACUCUGCAGGGUAUUGCAAUCUCUGACUGCAGAGUUCCCAUACCAGGGCAAUCAGACUUACAGAAUAUAUUGGGUACAUUAUCACUGACAACUUGGAAGAAGAUGCUGACAUGCAAAGGCAGAGAUGAAUGUUGAAGCAGAGGAGUGUGCACAUCCCAGGGAAAGGUGCCGGACGAAGGUCAACUGUAGUUUUCAGAGUGAGGAGUACGCACACU